AUGCUACCACCUCCGCAACUUCAACACAGAACACUCAUACAACAUAACUUCAUGGCCAUCACAGCAAGGUGAUAGGAGGACAAUUGUUGAGAACCCAUUGAUUAUCCACAAGGCGUUCUAACCUUAUUCUCCACCAACUUUUGCGCCACUUCCAGAACUAGCUUAAUCGAAAUAUCCACCAACUGUAGCAGACCCCGGCCACAAAUUAGGGCUUCAAUUGAUGACAUUACGACAGAAGUAGAAACAAAUGCGUAACCCA
rnacentral:lncRNA from 1 species